rnacentral:rRNA from 1 species
ACCCCCUACCCCAAUCGCCAAAACCCUUAAUGCUAUUAGUUAGGUUCUCCAGCGAUGCUCUGGUGAUGGUGCCUUAGGCCAAAAAAUGUAGCAUUAGCACAUGCUCAAGCCCAACAUGUGCAUCGUGGCCCAUAAUCAAACUUCAACCAAGGCCUCGACCAUCACUGGCAUAUGUUAGUGCAUGGUGUGGGCAUAUGUUGGUGUAUGGUGUGGGCAUACGCUAAUGCAUGGUGUGGGCACAUGCUGCUGCAUGGUGUAGGCAUAUACCUCUACCAUCAUUGGCACCUGUUGGUGCAUGGUUCAGGCACAUGUCUCAACCAUCAUUGGCAUAAGCUGGUUUUUGGUAUAGGCACUUGCCUCAACCACCAUCAACAUAAGCUAGCCCUUGGUAUGGGCAUUUGCCUCGACCACCAUUACCACAUGUUGGCCCUUGGUGUGGGCACCUACCUCAAUCAACAUCAAUAGAAGAUGGCCCUUGGUGUAAGCAAUCACCUCGAACACCAUUGGCACAUGUUAGCCCUUUCUAUGAGCACUUGUCUCAAACACCAUUAACACAUCCUUGCCCUUGCUGUGGGUAGAUUCUCGAUAACUAUUGACACCUAUGAACUCUUAGUGUAGGAUAUGACUAUUUGAAAAUAGUGUCCCUAUUUUAGACACUUUCAUGUUUACUACUAGUAUAUAUGUAAAAUCUUUCAUGCUCUUCAGGGGAUGGUUGUUCAAGUCCCCUUCUCCCCUCCAAAAAAGGAGUAGCUAUGCGUGAUAGGCCUAUCAUUAUGUAUAUCCAUGGCAACAUCCCUAUAGAAAAAUCUAGGUUGUGUAUGCCUUUUGGUGAUGUUGUUUGGUGACUUAUUGCUUUAGUGACCUAUAGGCAUCCAUGGCCUCGAUAGGCUAGCAUGCAUGUAGAAAUGUGUCUUAGCUAUGCUAAGUUCAAGCCUGUGCCUAUGGCUGAUGUUACCCCAAAACCUAGAGGAAGUCUCUGAAUAGGGUAGUAGCUCCCUAGGGUGGUGCAAGCAGAAUCUAUGCACAUAGGCUAGGUCUUGCCAAGUAUCUCAGGUAUUUGGCUAUCUCAUGGUCCUUUUUAACCACUGAAGGUGAGUGAGCUUGGACGAAUCGACCAUCACUACAAAUCUUGGUGGUAGUAGUAAUUAUUCAAAUGAAAACUUUAAAGGUUGAAGUAGGGAAAGGUUCCAUGUGAACAGCACUUGCACAUGGGUUAGUCGAUCUUAAGAGAUACGGGAAGCCUAAAUGAUAAUGUGUCUAGCAUAGGCUUCGAAAAGUAAUCGGGUUAAAAUUCCUAAACCAAGAUGUGAUGCCUAACAACAAGAUUAGGGAGUCUGAGACAUUGGGGGGCUUUAGGAAAAGUUAUCUUUUCUAUUUAACAGCCUCUUUAACCUAAAAAAAAACACAGCUGAAGGUAGGGUCUAGUGGCCAGAAGAACACUGUAUGUCACGUGAUGUCCAGUAUGCCCUCGAUGGCCUUUAAAAAUCUAGAAGAUCAAGUUUUGUCCAUCCCAUCAUAUUCAUAACCACAUAUGGUCUCCAAGGUGAAUAACCUAUAGUCGAUGGAACAAUAUAGGUAAAAAAAGUUAGCAAAAUGGAUCCAUAACCUCGAGAAAGGAUUGGCUUUGAGGGUUGGGCAUAGGGGUCCUAGUCUCAAACUUGUCGAUUAUCUAUGCACUACUCAAGCCACUCCCAUAAUGAAAGCGGGCUACUGCAUGCCAGCCUAAGGAUGAAUUGGGAAUGGCUCCCUUGGGGGCUUUCCCUAGCUAAUGAACAGUUAACUCAACAUUGGUAUGGACAAGGGGAAUCUGACUAUUUAAUUAAAACAAACCAUAGUGAUGAUCUCUGUAGAUACUUAUGCAAUCUAAUUUUUGCCCAGUGCUUUAAAUGUCAAAGUGAAGAAAUUCAACCAAGCAUGUGUAAACAGCAGGAGUAACUAUGACUCUCUUAAGGUAGCCAAAUGCCUCACCAUCUUACUAACAUACAUGAUUGGAUUAACAAAAUUCUCACUGUCCCUAUCUAUUAUCUAGCGAAGCCAUAGCCAAGGGAAUGGGCUCAACAAAAUCAACAAGGAAAGAAGACCCAGAUUAGCUUGACUCUAGUUGGACUUUGUGAAAUCACUUUAAAGGUGUAGGAUGAUAGGAACCCUCGGGAAAAAAUGAAAUACCGUUACUUUUAAUGUUAUUUUACUUAUUCCAUGAAUUAAAGGUAGGGCAUGAUCCCUUCUUUUGGCCCAAGGCCAGCUUCAGUCAAUCAAUCUGGCUAGAAAACAUUAUCAGGUGGGGAGUUUGGCUAUGGUAGCACAUUUAUUAAAAGAUAACAUAGGUGUCGUAAAAUGAUCUCAAUGAGAACAAAAAUCUCGUGUCAAAUAAAAGGGUAAAAGCUUGUUUGAUUUUGAGUUCUAAUAUGAAUACAAACCAUGAAAGCAUGGCCUAUCAAUCCUUUAGACCUUCAAAAUUUGAAGCUAGAGAUGUCAGAAAAGUUACCACAAGAAUAACUGGCUUAUGGCAACCAAGCAUUCAUAGUGACAUUACUUUUUGAUCCUUCGAUGUUGGCUCUUCCUAUCAUUCUGAAGCAGAAUUCACCAAGUGUUAGAUUGUUCACCCACCAAUAGGGAUUGUGAGUUGGUUUUGGACCAUCAUGAGAUAGGUUAGUCUUACACUAUUGAUGAUAGCAUCGUAAUAGUAAUUCAACCUAGUACGAUAGCAAUCAUUGAUUUGCACAAUUAGUCAUCAUGCUUGGUUAAAAGCCAGUGGCAUGAAGCUACCAUAUACUAGAUUAUGACUAAACACCUCUAAGUCAUAAUCUGAGCUAGAAGUGAUGCACGCAUCCGUCGCCUUGUUGUCAACCUAUAAUAGAGGCCCAUGGCCCCUAAAGGCAUGUGUCAUAGGUGUAACCCUCAUGGUGGACAAGCUACGUAGGCAUCCUUGGAGCUCAAUUCCCACCAAGUGGUGGGU